rnacentral:rRNA from 1 species
CCUACGGGAGGCAGCAGUGGGGGAUAUUGCACAAUGGGGGAAACCCUGAUGCAGCGACGCCGCGUGAGUGAAGAAGGAUUUCGGGAUGUAAAGUACUAUCAGCAGGGAAGAAGAUGACAGUACUUGAACAAGAAGCACCGGCUAACUCCGUGCCAGCAGCCGCGGUAAUACGUAGGGGGAGAACGUGAGCCGGAUUUACUGGGGGUAAAGCGAGUGGAGACGGUUAAGUAAGUCUGGAGUGAAAGCCCGGGGCCUAACCCCGGGAUUGCUUUGGAAACUGGGUAGCUGGAGUGCAGGAGAGGCAGGCAGAAUUCCUGGUGUAGCGGUGAAAUGCGUAGAGAUCAGGAGGAACACCGGCGGCGAAGGCGGCCUCCUGGACUGAAACUGACGUUGAGGUUCGAAAGCGUGGGGAGCAAACAGGAUUAGAUACCCCAGUAGUC